UGGAGGUGAUGAGCUCUCUUAGCCUGACCUUGUAGAGUGGAGGCAAAAAAACUGAUUUAAUGAGCCUGAUCC
rnacentral:snoRNA from 1 species